GUACCCUUUGGGUCAAAAGUACAGAUACGCCAACAGCUUAAAAUAGAUAUCACAGCGGUGACAAAAUUGUUACCGCGGUGACAUUUUUGUCACUGCGGUAAUAAAUUUAUCACUGCGGUGAUAUAUUUGUAACUGUUGUGAUACUUUGUUUGACCCAAACAGUUUGAUAAGAGCUAAAUCGAACUAACCAAUGAAACAACGUCUUGCAAAACGGCAAAUCGGCGAAUAUUUACUGCGAAGUUUUCAAGAUGUCUGCCUCCAUGGAUACUGUAAACAACUUUUCAGAUCAUGAGUUUGGUAAUUUUAAUCUUCGGACACAAGGAUGACGACAAUUAUGAGUCCAUCAAUGGUUGUGAAAUCAAGGAUAUUCUAUUGGAAGGAAAGACAUGAAUGCAUUCAAGUUUCCUGUGAGCAAUAUGAUUUCCUGACUUUGCCUUACAGUAUAAAACAAGAGAGUUAAACACUUGAAACUUGAAAAGAUGUGGUCCUAGAACCUGAAAUGGCAACUCCAGCUCUCUACAAAAGCAUCAUCUGGAAUCCAACUAUGUACAAUCAAAAAAUUAAUGUGUGUCUUAAUUUUGUCUUUUUAGAGCCCUGACGGGUCUUAAGAUAUCAGAUGUUUUAAAAUUCAUUGUGUUUGUGCUGCAAGUUUUAUGAACUGGUUAUAAAGCUUAUGUAUGAAGAACCGUUUACUGCCUGGUUAGCUGCAGUAGAGCACUCAUAGGAAUUGGGAGAUCUGUGGAAUCCCUUUGUGGCUUGCAAAUUUCAACCUGUUUUCAAAAAUUGCUUAGUUGGUCAGUGUGUUUAUAUUUCAAUUUUCAGGUCUGGUAAAGAAAGUUAUUUAAAGGCAAUGUGCAAGGUUUUCCUUAAUAAUAGCAUGUACACAGGAAAAAAAAGCUUAAUAUUAGAUAUUUUGUUAUAAUCAGUUUGUGGUCCGUCCAUAGCUAAACAUGAACAUAGAUAUUUUUUACUUUUAUUAGUACUAUAUACAUAUUAUAAAUAAAAGGUUGUAUCUUGCAUCUUCUAAUCCUUAAAGUGGCAUGGUGGCCUAGUGUGUGUGUUGUUUAUCUAUGAAAUUUAUACAUGUAUACUAAUAUCUAGGCUACAUUAUGAUGUACUACUCAAAGAACAGUAUGUUUAAAAUGCAGGUUUAUACUAAUUUAAAUACAGGUACAAAUUAAUCCUGUGUUGUAUAUAGCAGAAUGUCCCUUAUUUUCACUGUUAUCUUUUAAAACUGUUCAGGUACACUUCACCUGCAUAAAACUAGUUCAGAUAUAUAUGUCCCAUAGAGCAAAACAAUUGUCACUAAAUCAUUGUAUAAUCGUUAUUGGCAGUUCACUUCUGUAGUUUCUGAAAUGAAAAAUUGUUGUUACCUACCUUCACUCUUAAUUCAGUUUUAGUAGAAUGCUUAAUUUCAUUUUUUUUUCUUUAUUAGUUGUAAGUAGUGGGCUCUGUGUUCUGAUUAGUUCCUUAAUUGAACACAUGUUUAAACGUCGGUUGUUAAAUUGUAUAACAUGUUAAUGCAGAAUUGUACCAUAACAUGAAAUUGUAUUUUUUGCUUUGUACAUUGUUUGAAAUGUUACCAUCUUGUUUCUAAUAAAUGUUUUUUAUAAUUCACCAUCUAGUCCUAUUUGCAAAAAAGUGAACCAUUUAAAUAUUGUAUUUAAAGUAUACACCCGUUAGCCUUACUUAAGUCGUGAACAUUUCGUAGGCAUUUGUUAUCCCCAGUAAUAGGCGGAGGGAUAUUGUUUUGCCGCUGUUUGUCCGUCCUUCCGUCCGUCCGGCACUUUUGUGUCCAGAGCCAUAUCUUGUUAGUGCUUUAGCGGAUUUCAUUGAAACUUGGUAUGAGUAUAUUAUAUGGAUAAGAGGAUGAUGUACACUUUGUAUCUUGAAAAAAAUGCUUUUUAAUAUAAUCUUAGAGCUUUAUCUUCACUAACACAUGAGCCAGAGCCAUGAAACUUGCCAUAGUUGUUCUCAAUCAUCUAGGGGUGCUUCACAUUCAACAUCCAUAAUUCUAGGGGCUAAGGUCAUGGCCCUUUGUAUCUUGAAAAAAAUGCUUUUUGAUAGAAGCUUAUAGCUUUAUCUUCAUUAACACAUGAGCCAGAGCCAUGCAACUUUCUAUAGUUAUUCCAAUCAUCUGGGGUUGUUUCACAUUCAACACCCAUAAUCCUAGGGGCUAAGGUCAAGGUCACACAUUGAGGUCAAAGGUCACAAAUUUGAGGAAUUAUUCAUUAAUUGGUAAUUCCUUUACUAUGCAUCAAGGAAUUCUGUUAUAACUGUCACAAUUGUUCUCAAUUAUCUAGCUGAGUUUCAAAUAUAAGAUCCAGGUUGCUAGGGUCAUGGUCAAAGUCACACACAAAGGUCAAAAUCACACAUUUUGAUCAUAUAUAUAUAUAUAUAUAUAUAUAUAUUAAAACUCAGACCCCACAUAGAUUGCAACCGUCAAUAUUUUCUACACCAAAGUACCAUUAAAAGACCAGUAUUGUUAGUGAGUAUGCACAUUAAGAUCUUAUGCUGAAUGUUCAGAUGGAGUAUGAAUGCUAUUCCAACCACUAUUUCACUUUUAAAAUAUGUAACCACCAAUUGCGAGUCCGCAUGCAAAGAUGUAUUGUAUUUAUUAAAUUUAGAAUUUCUAAAUUCUGGAUAUUAUUUAGAGUAGCAGCAAUCUCAACAUUUCUUACACAAAUUUUAUUCUGUUAAUAAGACGUGUAUAGUUAGUGCAGGUUAUAAUCUGUUUUUAAAACUAUUAUAUCUAAACAUGUAAUAUACUUUUCUAUUAUUGCAUAAAAAUAGUCAUGUAUUAGUUUUAAUACAUUUUAAAAGUACAUAGGUGAGACUGUAUCAAUUUACUGAUGUUUUUAUCAGUGUAAAUAAUGAAUAACAUGUAUGUACAUUAAGGUCCCUUAUAAGUCUUUUGUUGAACGGUCAUAUAGAAUGCAAUGUAUCUAUUUUAUGAAUGUUGAAAGACAUUUGUACAAUACAUUGUAUAUAGACUGGGACUAUAACAAUGAACUAAAAUUGCUUGCUAAAACAUUUGAAUGAAGUUGAAGAAAGGUAACUCUUUAGGGCUUAAAAAUGGUUGGCAAUAUGGUUCGAGUUACUUCCCUUCAAGCUUACGUAUGGCUAGCAAUUUUACUUAAUACAUUAUGAAAACUGAUUUUAAGUUGAUAUUACAUUGGAGAUUUAUAUUAUCACCACGAUUAAUCUUAAUCAAGGAAUGACCAUGGUAAUUGGAAGAUCUUUUAAGAUGUGUAAUUGUUUGCGCAAUAAUGCAUUUUGUAAUGACGGGCACUAUAUUGGAAGUGUAUGGCAUUCUUGAUAGGGUCGGUGGUGGUAAUGUAGUUUUUACCAUGUAUAGUCAUGAUAGUCAUGUAACGUACAUUGAUAAGCGUUGAAUAAGUCUCUUAUAAUUCCUUUCAUGAAUGGCCAAUGUUGUAUCUAUAGCUUUAUGUUUUAUAUAUGCAUUGUGAAAAUUGUAAAUAUUGGAUGAGACUAUAAUAAACUAUAAAACGUG